UGGAUCACCUCCUAACAGGGAUACAAUACGCGAUUGUGAUGUCUGAGUAAUUUAUUCUCAGGCCAUGAUCCUGUCAUCUCUAAGGUCGAUCGGUACCUCAAUGGAGACGUUAGAGAGCAAGCGAACCGAAAGGUGAGUAAGUUUGUCUAAUCUAUCUUUUCAGUUCCUAAACUUUGUCUAGGUCACCCCAACAACGGGUAAACAAGCUCCUGGGCCAUUAGCUCAGGUGGUUAGAGCGCACCCCUGAUAAGGGUGAGGUCCCUGGUUCAAGUCCAGGAUGGCCCAUUCACCGCCUGCGCAGCAGGCAGGACUUGAUGUUGGGGGUUUAGCUCAGUUGGUAGAGCGCCUGCUUUGCAAGCAGGAUGUCAGCGGUUCGAGUCCGCUAACCUCCAUCCAACGCUGACCCUUGAUUGCGAAAGUUCCACAGGAGAACCAGUAACGGUGACUAGACGGUGCACGCUGAGCGAAACAGACUCCAGCCUCAUUGCAUACUAAUCCAUAGUCAUUGUCCAAGAAGGAUAACGAUUAAAUGGAAAGGGUUGCAGCGAUGCUGGACUCAACGCUUUCUGGAAACAGGAAGCGAUGACGUUCAAGCAAAGAACCUUGACAACUGCAUAGGUGAAGUCUGGAAAUAAAGCAUCUCAUGGAUGCUUGAUUCUAGCGUUUUAAUCUGAAAAGACUGAGAAAUCAGUAGUUUCUGUUUAAAGCAAAGGGAUCAAGAAGAUUCUUGAGUUUAGAGCCGAGAGCUUCUAGUGUUCUUAGCCACCGCCGAGGUGAGCUGAGUUUGAUCCUUGAUUCAAACCCUUACUGCCAGUGAAUGCUGAUUGUAAGAGGUGAACCAUGAGAGAAUAGGUUUCAACAACCUGAAGCAUUGGAAGACUUAAUUGGUCAAGCUACAAAGGGCUCACGGUGGAUACCUUGGCACACAGAGGCGAUGAAGG
rnacentral:tRNA from 1 species